GUGCUCACUUUUGCAGCACAUAUACUAAAGUUGGAAUGAUAAGAGAAGAUUAGCAAAGUUCCUGCACAAGGAAGACAUGAAAAUUUGUGAAGUGUUCUAUAUUAAA